rnacentral:rRNA from 1 species
CCCCUGACGGUAUCUAACCAGAAAGCCACGGCUAACUACGUGCCAGCAGCCGCGGUAAUACGUAGGUGGCAAGCGUUGUCCGGAUUUAUUGGGCGUAAAGCGAGCGCAGGCGGUUUCUUAAGUCUGAUGUGAAAGCCCCCGGCUCAACCGGGGAGGGUCAUUGGAAACUGGGAGACUUGAGUGCAGAAGAGGAGAGUGGAAUUCCA